AUACGUGCUUAUGUGACUACGUGUUCAACUGUUUGACAUAAUGUGUAUAUAUAUUAUUUGUAUAUAAUAUUUUUAUAUUGCGAAGGGUAGUAAUAUAAUUUCGAUUCUGCAAGUUCAACGACGCUUUGGAUUAUUCUUCAACUGAAGUAUUGCAUGCUGUCAUAUAUAGUUUAUCGAGAAGCGUGCAUCAACGACUUUCAGAAGCAAGCCGAUAUUGUUGCAAGUCAAGUCAGAAUAGUUUGAUAAGGCCAGUUGUGCCGUAAGAUAGUCCAGUAGAGAGUAGUCAUUGCAGAGAUUAGCAAAGUUGAGGCCAAUAUAGGAAUCUCGAGUAGAGUGACUGUGUGUCACCGGUUUUCUAUCAGAGGCAAGUAUUCCUAUUCUUCUCUUUUAUUUAAAGAGCAAAUAUUUCAAUUCCUCUUUUCAUAAAGAAAGUUUUAUAAUUAUGACUUGUAUUUCUUGCAAGCAUGACUAUCCAUUUCUGAUAUGAAAAGUACAAAUGCUUUAAUCUUUAUCCUGUGAUUAAAUUAUCGAAUAUCUUUAGUUCGAUACUUUUUACUGUUAUAUGAGCAGUGGCAACUUUAUUUGAAAAGCAUUCUGAUUAUUUUUAAUCAGUUUUCUGGAAAUUAUUGUCUGAGUUACUUUUCAGUUUGGAACCAUUGAUUACACUAUAGUAGUCAUAUUUCGAUACUACAAUAUAUGCCUGGUCUUCUGUCCCAGACAUAAACCCUGGAUUUUAAAUAGCGAAAAUAACUUUAUUAAUUCCCUUGUGCCGUAUUGCGGUGAACUUCAAAACUAUACUCAGACUUUGUAAAAUUGGUUUUGACAGUAUUUUGAGAUUGAAAACAAAAGAGUUUUCAGAAAAGUUUUGAAAGGAUGAUUUUAUGGCGUAUGGGGCUAUUUAAUAGUCCAGCCAGAUAGACCAGCAAAAUAUUGUUUUGAGAACAGGUGUUAAUCAUCUGCUUCCGGAAGAAAUCGGAAGAUUUCUUUGUUUUUGCAUAGGUGGCCGGGACGGCGGUCCAGCGAAGGGCUAGGUAUUAUAUGAAAUAUGUAUAAUACCAUUUCUGCCAAAGGCCAAUGUGUUGCCUUCUGUUUGGUACCUAUUGUUUGGAUCUGCUUCUACGAAGCAUGAUUCGGUGCUAUCACUGGAUUUCCUGAUCAGCUGUGGUAGUACGUCCGUUGUUUAAAACCUGGUCAUAAUUAUUUAAGCUUAUGAUAGCUUAUGUUUAUUGUCAAAUUUAUCUUGUGAUUUUCGAGCAUAUUGAUUUAUAUGUUUGAUAAACUUUUGAGUGACAAAUAUUUAGAUUAUUUCAAAAGUUUACUUUAUUUCAAAUACUCUGAUUUAAUUCAAAAGAAAUUAUAUCUUGUGGCUCUUGCCUUUUAAAUUAUCUUGCUGAGCAUUUUCGCUCACCCUUGCUAUUAUUUCUAACUCUUUCAGUUAGGGAUUGAGAUGGUUACCUGUAUAAGCUGCGCGUAAGAUUGAUGCUAGGCGAGAUGGCCAGGAAGAUAUCUG
rnacentral:lncRNA from 1 species